GGGCUUUCUUUAGUUGUGGCCUGCUCCAGUGACACACACACAAACACAGUCAUACAGAGAGAGAGAGAGAGAGAGAAUGUGUGUAUGUGUGUGUUUGUGAGGGAGGGAGAGUGAGCUUGUGAAAAGUGGGGAAUGAGAGUAGGUAGGUCCAUAUAUGUGUUGGUAGAUAAUAUUACAUUCCCUCCUUGCUUCCAUCCCCCUUCCCCACUUUGGGGUUUAGGGGGUUUCUCAGUCACUUCAGUGGGCAAAAGGCAGCAGCAUCUCUCCUGCCCAAUUCAUUUAUUUAUCUAUCUAUGUUUGUAUCUAUUCUAUGUAUGUAUGUCUAUGUCUCUAUCUAUCUAUGUAUAUCCUCAUCCUCCUUCCUUGUCCUCCCUCUCACCCUCCUCUACAACAUGCUACCAUGUGGGACAAACUCCUGUGGAAUCAUUCUGUCCCAUUCCCUGUCUCUCUGUGAUUGUACUCUUUGUCAUAGCCCCCCCCCCCUCUGCCCUACUUGUCCAGAGCUGUCCCCUGCCUGUGGUGCAGUUUCCUUCCCUUCCCCACUUCUUUUGUCCAGAACACUACAAGUUAGCAUGAAACCCACUGGAAAAAUAGGGCAGGGCAAGGGCAAGAGUGGGGUGGGGAGAGAUUAACAACCAAUAGUAUUGUCAAUACAAUGGGGGGAUAUGGAUAUGCAGUGUUAGGGGGGAUGGGAGAACAAUUGUGGCUCUCAAUCAAGCAUGGCUUCAGCUACAACCCAAGCCCAAAUUAGCAAAGCAUCAAUGACAGGAUCAUGAAAAGGAAGGAAGCAAGCUCUGUCUUUCUCUCCUUCUCUGACUCCUGGUGGUGUGAUGAGACAGCACCACCUUGUGAUGUAAACUUGUGGCUCCUCAUGAUAUUUAUUUUCUUCAUUUGUGUGCUGCACCAUUCUGACACCUGAUUCAGUACAUGUUCACAUCCAUAUUACUAUUUAUGGAUUCUAGUGUGGCCCUCCAAUAUUAACCCACUAAAUUGCCACUGCUUGGGCUCCAACCUCAUCACUUGUAAAAAGGAGAAGAAGAAGAAGACAGGUGGCUGGCCUGGGCAGGAUUGGUGUCCCAUGUCAUCCAUGUACCUUAGUGGAACAAAUCAUGAGACCAUGUUUCUUUGCCCACCUCAAACUACACAAAGAUCUAAUACUUUUAAACUUAAGAAAUUACGAUUGGGUAGUGAAAAAAUAAUAAUCUGUUUUUAGUUAGUAAAGUUAAUUCAAACAGUGCUAAUGAGAUAUAUCAAACAAGGUAGAAAGGGUUAUAUCUAUAUCUAUAUAUAUAUAUAUAUACUAAAAACAAGGACGUGUGCUAUCUGUUAAUGCUUUGAAAGAUAAUAAAUAUUGUCAUGGGAUGAAAAAAAUAAAAUAAAAUAAAAUAAAAUCUUCUCUGGA